rnacentral:rRNA from 1 species
GAUGAACGCUGGCGGCGUGCCUAAUACAUGCAAGUCGAGCGAACAGACGAGGAGCUUGCUCCUCUGACGUUAGCGGCGGACGGGUGAGUAACACGUGGAUAACCUACCUAUAAGACUGGGAUAACUUCGGGAAACCGGAGCUAAUACCGGAUAAUAUAUUGAACCGCAUGGUUCAAUAGUGAAAGACGGUUUUGCUGUCACUUAUAGAUGAAUCCGCGCCGCAUUAGCUAGUUGGUAAGGUAACGGCUUACCAAGGCAACGAUGCGUAGCCGACCUGAGAGGGUGAUCGGCCACACUGGAACUGAGACACGGUCCAGACUCCUACGGGAGGCAGCAGUAGGGAAUCUUCCGCAAUGGGCGAAAGCCUGACGGAGCAACGCCGCGUGAAUGAUGAAGGUCUUCGGAUCGUAAAACUCUGUUAUUAGGGAAGAACAAAUGUGUAAGUAACUAUGCACGUCUUGACGGUACCUAAUCAGAAAGCCACGGCUAACUACGUG